CCGCGGUGGGGGGAGGUCCUCCUCCCCUCUGUGCCGGACCCGCGCUCAAAGAUUAAGCCAUGCAUGUCUAAGUAUAAGCUGCUUAUACUGUGAAACUGCGAAUGGCUCAUUAAAUCAGUUAUAGUUUAUUUGAUGGUACCUUACUACUCGGAUAACCGUAGCAGGUUGAUUGCGGUUGAAAGGGCCUGCGAGAGCGGUCCCUAGUGGGAGCUGAGCGUCCUUGAGCCCUGCUGCUCAGCGUCCUGCGACAUCGUCAAAUUGCUCGGAAGCCCUGCCAAGGUUGCUGGUACCGCCUCUGAUGGGAAACCGUCGCGAGGCACCCCGGUGAAAGCCGGGGGUAUGGUGACAAUCCAACAACCAGGGGUGAUGAGCAGCCAAGCCCUACGGGCCUCUCCGGAGGCCUAUGGGUGCAGUUCACAGACUAGAUGGCGGUGGGUCGGUAGCACGUAUGCGGUGACACUCAUCACCUCUUGCGCGUCUAUCGGCUUAAGAUAUAGUCGGCCCCCACCGAGAGGUGGCCUGCAUGAACAAGGGGGUAGGGCCCCGAGAGCCUGCAGGAGCGGAGAUGUCGAAAGCACCCGGAGCGAUCCGGGCGCCCGGUCAUUCCUCGGAAGCCGGUCUCCGCUGGAGUUUGCGAGUAAACCUAGAGCUAAUACGUGCGCACAUCCCGACUUCUGGAAGGGACGUAUUUAUUAGAUAAAAGACCGACCGGCUUCGGCCGCCCCUCGGUGAAUCAUGAUAACUUUACGAAUCGCAUGGCCUUGCGCCGGCGAUGUUUCAUUCAAAUUUCUGCCCUAUCAACUUUCGAUGGUAGGAUAGAGGCCUACCAUGGUGGUAACGGGUGACGGAGAAUUAGGGUUCGAUUCCGGAGAGGGAGCCUGAGAAACGGCUACCACAUCCAAGGAAGGCAGCAGGCGCGCAAAUUACCCAAUCCCGACACGGGGAGGUAGUGACAAGAAAUAACAAUACCGGGCUCUUUCGAGUCUGGUAAUUGGAAUGAGAACAAUCUAAACCCCUUAUCGAGGAUCCAUUGGAGGGCAAGUCUGGUGAAGUGUAGCUUUCGAUGCUGACGCCAGAGAUAGUGGGGCGUCCCCGUUCCGACGGGGGUGCUACGCCCGCUAGUCGAGCCACCAACAGCUGAGGUUGGGAAGGUGGCCGGCGAGGUGACCUGGUACGGGGAAGGCCCUCAAGCCCCCUGACGGGGGUUUUGGGUUGAUCCCGUGGCGAGCCUGCAAAGAGCGAUCUUUGUGAGGCCGUCGUAACGCACGCUAAGGCACCGGGUGCUCUCUCUCUGCAUGUCACGUGUGGGGGGAGGCGCCUCGAGGGACGUGCUAAACCCACCCGAUGACAAAGGGUGCGCUGCAGACUAGUUCCCAAUCAACGAAGCUGCAGCGGGGCAAUGGUGCCUUGCGGAAAUGCUUGGCACGGCCUGGUAGGGGGGCGCAGCUGUGCCUGCGCCCCUAAUUGGCCAGCAGCCGCGGUAAUUCCAGCUCCAAUAGCGUAUAUUUAAGUUGCUGCAGUUAAAAAGCUCGUAGUCGGUUUUCGGGCGGGCUGCGCCGGUCUGCCUUUGGCACGCACUGGUGCGCCCCGCUUUUCUGCCGGGGACGGGCUCCUGGGCUUUACUGUCCGGGACCCGGAGUCGGCGCUGUUACCUUGAGAGGGGUACCCAAGAGGUUAGCAGCAGUCCCCCGGAGACGGGGGGCUAGUGGGCUGGGGGCCCCAUCCCCAGUCCCGCGACACCGUUGAAUUGCGGGAAAGCCCUUGACAGCUCCACCUACCAAGCCGUGCGCCGAAAGGCGUCGGUGGCCAGGGUAACGACCUCGGGUAUGGUAAUAACGGUGGAGAUUGGGCAACCUGCAGCCAAGCCCCUAAGGGCGUCAUGCCUACGGGGAAGGUUCAGAGACUAAGUGGCGGUGGGCCGGUCCAAGACCGGCUUAAGAUAUAGUCCAGCCCUCGCGAAAGCGGGCCCAGAGACGAAAGGCUGCCUGGCUCUGCAAGGGCCGGGGAAGCGCAGCCCGGAGCUCUGGGAGCCGCCCCCCCCGAGGGGCGGUGGGAGCACCUGUACCUUGAGUAAAAUGGAGUGUUCAAAGCAGGCAACCGCUCUGAACAUAUUAGCAUGGAAUAACGUCAUAGGACUCUGGCCUAUUUCGUUGGUCUGUGGGACCGGAGUAACGACCAAUGGGGGCAGUCGGGGGCAUUCGUAUUUCGUUGUCAGAGGUGAAAUUCUUGGAUUUACGAAAGACGAACUGCUGCGAAAGCGUUUGCCAAGGAUGCUUUCGUCGAUCAAGAACGAAAGUUGGGGGCUCGAAGACGAUUAGAUACCGUCCUAGUCUCAACCAUAAACGAUGCCGACUAGGGAUCGGCGGAUGUUCUUUCGAUGACUCCGCCGGCACCUCAUGAGAAAUCAAAGUGUUUGGGUUCCGGGGGGAGUAUGGUCGCAAGGCUGAAACUUAAAGGAAUUGACGGAAGGGCACCACCAGGCGUUAAAAUGCUCUAGCGCCUCAGAGUGCAGGUUGCAACCCUGCGCUAGUGGGGGGGCUGUUGCCCUCCCGCGACACUGUCCAAUUGCGGGGAAGCCCUAAGGCUCGCACGUACCAAGGCAGGCCGGAAACGGGCUGCUGGCCCCAGUCAACAGCUGGGGGUAGGGUAACAACCGUGCGAGAUGCGCUUGCAGGCGACAGCCGCAGGCAAAAUGGGUGAUCCGCAGCCAAGCCCUAAGGGUCCUCCCUGCCAAAGGGGGGGCUACGGGUGCAGUUCACAGACUACAUGGCAGUGGGCGGCCUCUCCUGCGUCCCAUACGGGACGCUCGAGGGCUGCUUAAGAUAUAGUCGGGCCACUCAGCAAUGAGUCCUUGUGGGAGCAGGUGCAACUCGUAGCACUGAGAGCCCGCAAGGGGCAGGGUAGUAGCACCUGGGGCGACCCAGGCGCGGCAGCAACGCCUCCUGCCCGGAGAAAACCGGGAGCCUGUGGCUUAAUUUGACUCAACACGGGAAAACUUACCAGGUCCAGACAUAGUGAGGAUUGACAGAUUGAGAGCUCUUUCUUGAUUCUAUGGGUGAACAUGCGCAAUGAUGUUUGUGCCACUGCCCAUGAGAGCGCGGGGGAAACCCCGGCGCUAGUCACUGCCGCGCCGCCACGCUAGGCGCGGGAGCUGGCGAGACCAUCGAAUUGCGGGGACAUCCUUAGCGCCUCUGCUACCAAGCCGGCCGUCCGAAAGGCGCCGGUGGCCAGGGUAACUUCCUCGGGUAUGGUAAAAACGCAGAGGAUUGGACAAUCCGCAGCCAAGCUCCUACGGGCCAGCCUCAGCUGCCUACGGAGAAGGUUCAGAGACUAGGUGGUGGUCGGUCCCAUACAUGGGGCUUAAGAUAGAGUCCGACGCUGCGGAAACGCAGCCCCAAGACGAAAGUCCUAGCAGGGCCAGAG
rnacentral:rRNA from 1 species